UACAGAGGUCUCAAGCGUUGUUCGGAUUCAUUGGGCGUAAAGGGUGCGUAGGCGGCGCGGUAAGUCGGGUGUGAAAUCUCGGAGCUUAACUCCGAAACUGCAUUCGGUACUGCCGUGCUUGAGGACUGGAGAGGAGACUGGAAUUUGCGGUGUAGCGGUGAAAUGCGUAGAUAUCGUAAGGAAGACCAGUGGCGAAGGCGGGUCUCUGGACAGUUCCUGACGCUGAGGCACGAAGGUCAGGGGAGCAAACGGG
rnacentral:rRNA from 1 species